rnacentral:rRNA from 1 species
GUUUAAUUCGAAGCAACGCGAAGAACCUUACCAGCCCUUGACAUGGCAGGACGGUUACCAGAGAUGGUUUCCUUCACUUCGGUGACCUGCACACAGGUGCUGCAUGGCUGUCGUCAGCUCGUGUCGUGAGAUGUUGGGUUAAGUCCCGCAACGAGCGCAACCCUCGCCCUUAGUUGCCAUCAUUUAGUUGGGCACUCUAAGGGGACUGCCGGUGAUAAGCCGGAGGAAGGUGGGGAUGACGUCAAGUCUUCAUGGCCCUUACGGGCUGGGCUACACACGUGCUACAAUGGCGGUGACAGAGGGUUGCUACACAGCGAUGUGAUGCUAAUCCCUAAAAGCCGUCUCAGUUCGGAUUGCACUCUGCAACUCGGGUGCAUGAAGUCGGAAUCGCUAGUAAUCGCAGAUCAGCACGCUGCGGUGAAUACGUUCCCGGGCCUUGUACACACCGCC